CCUACGGGAGGCAGCAGUAGGGAAUCUUCGGCAAUGGGGGCAACCCUGACCGAGCAACGCCGCGUGAGUGAAGAAGGUUUUCGGAUCGUAAAACUCUGUUGUUAGAGAAGAACGUUAAGUAGAGUGGAAAAUUACUUAAGUGACGGUAUCUAACCAGAAAGGGACGGCUAACUACGUGCCAGCAGCCGCGGUAAUACGUAGGUCCCAAGCGUUGUCCGGAUUUAUUGGGCGUAAAGCGAGCGCAGGUGGUUUCUUAAGUCUGAUGUAAAAGGCAGUGGCUCAACCAUUGUGUGCAUUGGAAACUGGGAGACUUGAGUGCAGGAGAGGAGAGUGGAAUUCCAUGUGUAGCGGUGAAAUGCGUAGAUAUAUGGAGGAACACCGGAGGCGAAAGCGGCUCUCUGGCCUGUAACUGACACUGAGGCUCGAAAGCGUGGGGAGCAAACAGGAUUAGAUACCCCAGUAGUC
rnacentral:rRNA from 1 species